GGGGAGAUGGUCGAGAGGUUUAUGGCUCCAGUCUUGAAAACUGGUAUAGCGCCACGCUAUCGAGGGUUCGAAUCCCUCUCUCCCCU
rnacentral:tRNA from 1 species